AGUUCCGGCAUCAGAAUACGUAUCCGAUUCGCGCUCACGUCUGCCCAGCAGAGAACGGGAAAUCCACGAAAGUCUCUUUCGGAUAACGUUACUAAACGAUUAUGUGAUGCAUUCAGUUCUUCUAGAGAAGGGAGCCACGUCUAUACAGAAAUAUCAUGAUUAUAAAUAUGAUCGUUGUGCGAAAGUUCGAGAAAUUUCAAUCGACGUGCCUUUUGUAGCGUACCAUCCAAACUGCGAAUCUUAUUGUGUUGAAGAUACAAACUUUCCAAACGAUGCAGUACGAUUCGUCUGGGGAACGAUUGACGGACAAUUCUGUGCACGUGGCCAGUCACGUGCGCGACAAGCGCCAGGGAAACCCCACCAAGCUCUACUAGCUGUCUUCCUCUCUUCGAGAUGAAUUGAUGAUUUCGUUCAUACGCAGGUUACAAAUAUAUCAUGAAAUCACGCAUAGUGUGCAAAACGUAUUUAAAAGAAUCUUAUCCUUCUAUCUUAUUGAUUUUGUUAAACAAUGAAAAAAAGUAAAAAAAAAAGUAAAAAAGAAAAAUAAACGAAUAGAAAUGAAAAAUACAUUUUCGAUCGGAUGAUUCUCGUAUAACAUCACGUAAAUGUUCAACGUGCCGAUCUGAAACUAUUUUUACAUAAUUUAUAAUUUAUUUAUUUAAUAUCUCUUCCGUAUCUCUUUAUAUCGUAUUAAAAAUAAUAAUAAUAUACAAGAAAUUUUCCUCGUGAACAGGAAUCGCUGAAUGAUGAAUGUUCGCUCGAUCAUUCGGUGCGAAUCAGAUCAGACUUAAUCGGCUCGAUAAAUGCAUAUCUUUGCAGAAAUAUUGAAACGGUCAAAAAAGGUUAUGUCAACUCUUAUAUAUUGAUCACAUAUUAUGACGUAUUUAUAAUUUAUUUUCUUCCUGUUUAUAAACUGUUUUGAUGUUAUCACUACCGGGUGAUGAUAUUUUUCCAUUUACCUUCUCCAUUCAUAUUUUCCUAUAAACAUUUUAUAUAAGAUAUCGAGAGAAAAUAAUUCAGAUAAUUGAAACAACCGGUAUUUGCGAACCGUGAUCAAUGCGUCAGGGAAUCUCAACCACGUGUUUAAUAUUUGCGCAUAAAUGAUUGAUAAAUACUAAUGAUAUAUGUGAUUCAAAGUUCUUAUGCGUCUAGAAGUGCACAAGAAAACUUCGAUUCCUGAACACGUGUCUCGAUGCAUUUAUAUAUUCAACUCGCGAGGAAGAAAACUAAUAAAGGCAGUGAUGAAAUGUUCUU